rnacentral:lncRNA from 1 species
AAUUAAACAUGGCAAUCGAUUCAGCAAGGCAUAAACAUCACAAAUCCAUAAGCAAAACUCAUUGAAACACGUUGGAUAGCAUGCAUCGAGCACAAAUGUCAUUGAACACAAAACUUUAUUUUCAAAUAUCUCAUGCAAUAUUUCAUCAUUUCAAACAAACUAUAGCUCCUUAGAAUCAGUGAAGCAAAGCCUACUUAAAGCAUAUCAUUA